UCAGUUCGGAUCGGAGUCUGCAACCCGACUCCGUGAAGCUGGAUUCGCUAGUAAUCGCGCAUCAGCCACGGCGCGGUGAAUACGUUCCCGGGCCUUGUACACACCGCCCGUCAAGCCAUGGAAGCCGGGAGUGCCUGAAGUGCGUGAGCGCAAGCAGCGCCCUAAGGUAAAACCGGUGACUGGGGCUAAGUCGUAACAAGGUAUC
rnacentral:rRNA from 1 species